UCGACCGGCACAAAAAAAAGUUGUACUAGUUGAGUUUGCACUGAAAAGUGGCAAACGCGUUCUUCUUUUCCUUCGUCGAGAAGGGCAGCAAUAGUAAAAAAUGCAAAGAUGUCGCACUUGAGAGAUAACUCGGUUUCCGUCGAUAGAAGAAGAAAAAGAAGACGUCUUUGUCGCUUCCUUCUGACCACCGACUCAGGAAAAGAGAACAAAAAAUUAUAGUCAGU
ensembl:ncRNA F13H6.23 ncRNA